UCCAGCGUGGUGUAAUGGUUGAAGCGUUGGACUACAACUCUGGAGACCGGAGUUCAAAUCCCUGCUUGGUA